AUUGAACGCUGGCGGAAUGCUUUACACAUGCAAGUCGAACGGCAGCACGGGGCAACCUGGUGGCGAGUGGCGAACGGGUGAGUAAUGCAUCGGAACGUGCCCAAUCGUGGGGGAUAACGUAGCGAAAGUUACGCUAAUACCGCAUACGAUCUACGGAUGAAAGCGGGGGAUCGCAAGACCUCGCGCGAAUGGAGCGGCCGAUGUCAGAUUAGGUAGUUGGUGGGGUAAAGGCUCACCAAGCCGACGAUCUGUAGCUGGUCUGAGAGGACGACCAGCCACACUGGGACUGAGACACGGCCCAGACUCCUACGGGAGGCAGCAGUGGGGAAUUUUGGACAAUGGGCGCAAGCCUGAUCCAGCCAUUCCGCGUGCAGGAUGAAGGCCUUCGGGUUGUAAACUGCUUUUGUACGGAGCGAAAAGGCUCUCUCUAAUACAGGGGGCUCAUGACGGCACCGUAAGAAUAAGCACCGGCUAACUACGUGCCAGCAGCCGCAGUAACAC
rnacentral:rRNA from 1 species